AUUGAACGCUGGCGGAAUGCUUUACACAUGCAAGUCGAACGGCAGCACGGACUUCGGUCUGGUGGCGAGUGGCGAACGGGUGAGUAAUGUAUCGGAACGUGCCCAGUCGUGGGGGAUAACGUAGUGAAAAUUACGCUAAUACCGCAUACGAUCUAUGGAUGAAAGCGGGGGAUCGCAAGACCUUGUGCGAUUGGAGCGGCCGAUAUCAGAUUAGGUAGUUGGUGGGGUAAGGGCCCACCAAGCCAACGAUCUGUAGCUGGUCUGAGAGGACGACCAGCCACACUGGAACUGAGACACGGUCCAGACUCCUACGGGAGGCAGCAGUGGGGAAUUUUGGACAAUGGGCGAAAGCCUGAUCCAGCCAUUCCGCGUGCAGGAUGAAGGCCCUCGGGUUGUAAACUGCUUUUGUACAGAACGAAAAGGUUUCUACUAAUACUAGGAGCUCAUGACGGUACUGUAAGAAUAAGCACCGGCUAACUACGUGCCAGCAGCCGCGGUAA
rnacentral:rRNA from 1 species